rnacentral:rRNA from 1 species
AGGACGAACGCUGGCGGCGUGCUUAACACAUGCAAGUCGAGCGGAAAGGCCCUUCGGGGUACUCGAGCGGCGAACGGGUGAGUAACACGUGAGUAACCUGCCCUGGACUUUGGGAUAACCCCUCGGAAACGGGGGCUAAUACCGAAUAUGACUUCUGCCCGCAUGGGUGGUGGUGGAAAGUUUUUUCGGUCUGGGAUGGGCUCGCGGCCUAUCAGCUUGUUGGUGGGGUGAUGGCCUACCAAGGCGACGACGGGUAG